rnacentral:rRNA from 1 species
CAGCAGCCGCGGGAAUACGUAGGGCGCAAGCGUUGUUCGGAAUUACUGGGCGUAAAGGGCGCGUAGGCGGCCAUUCAAGUUAGAUGUGAAAGCCCUGGGCUCAACCUAGGAAUUGCAUUUGAUACUGAUUGGCUAGAGUUCGGGAGAGGUGAGUGGGAUUCCCAGUGUAGAGGUGAAAUUCGUAGAUAUUGGGAAGAACACCAGUGGCGAAGGCGGCUCACUGGACGACUGUUGACGCUGAGGUACGAAAGCGUGGGGAGCAAACAGGAUUAGAUACCCCCGUAGUCCCUGUCUCUUAUAC